GGGUCUGUUUGUGUGUUUCCCCAGGAUCACCGACAACAGCUGUGGGGCCCAGGAUGGCUGACCAGAGCAAUUCUAAACAAGCAGAGAUAUGAGGACGUGGAUGUUCCUGUGGCUGGAAAUGCUCCCACUAAGAUCAUGCCUACCUAGAAAGUGGAGAUCUGGUUGCUGAGAUUAAAUGCUCCAGCCACCAUAAUUUAUCUGGAACAAAGUGAGGUGCUAGAUGCUGUGGCCUAGUGAAAUGAACGUCAGGGCUGGGCUGCCCUGGCGAAUCAGAAGAAAGGUCACAAUCAAAGUCUUUUUGAUAAAGAACCAGGAAUACAUACCAGCACAUCUGGGAUGACUACCCUUCCUCCCAAGGGACGGAUCAAUUGUGAAGAAGAAGAUGGUCCUUCCUCUUGCCCCACAGGUGGUACCCUAAGUGUGGUGCAGCCCAUUUUGCCUCUUGUGCUGCACACUCAAUAAAAUGAAGUAAAUAAAAUAAUAAAA
rnacentral:lncRNA from 1 species